rnacentral:rRNA from 1 species
CCUACGGGCGGCAGCAGUAGGGAAUAUUGCUCAAUGGGGGAAACCCUGAAGCAGCAACGCCGCGUGGAGGAUGAAGGUUUUCGGAUUGUAAACUCCUUUUGUUAGAGAAGAUAAUGACGGUAUCUAACGAAUAAGCACCGGCUAACUCCGUGCCAGCAGCCGCGGUAAUACGGAGGGUGCAAGCGUUACUCGGAAUCACUGGGCGUAAAGAGUGCGUAGGCGGGAUAGCAAGUCAGAUGUGAAAUCCUAUGGCUUAACCAUAGAACUGCAGUUGAAACUGUUAUUCUAGAGUAUGGGAGAGGUAGGUGGAAUUCUUGGUGUAGGGGUAAAAUCCGUAGAGAUCAAGAGGAAUACUCAUUGCGAAGGCGACCUGCUGGAACAUAACUGACGCUGAUGCGCGAAAGCGUGGGGAGCAAACAGGAUUAGAUACCCCGGUAGUC